rnacentral:rRNA from 1 species
GACGAACGCUGGCGGCGUGCCUAAUACAUGCAAGUAGAACGCUGAAGGAGGAGCUUGCUCUUCUGGAUGAGUUGCGCACGGGUGAGUAACGCGUAGGUAACCUGCCUGUUAGCGGGGGAUAACUAUUGGAAACGAUAGCUAAUAUCGCAUAACAGUAGAUGUUGCAUGACAUUUGCUUAAAAGGUGCAAUUGCACCACUACCAGUUGGACCUGCGUUGUCUUAACUAGUUGGUGGGGGAAAGGCUCACCAACGCGACGAAACAUUGCCGACCUGGGGAGGUGGACGGCCAACAUUGGACGUGGGACAGGGCCAAGAUUCUACCGGAAGGAGCAGUAAGGAAUUCUCGGGAAAGGACGGAAGUCUGACCGAGCAAAGCCGCGGGGGGGAAGAAGGUUCUUGGGUCGGAAAGCCCUGUUGUAAGGGAAGAACGAGUGUGGGAGUGGAAAGUUCACGCUGUGACGGUAUCUAAUCAGAAAGGGACGGCUAACUACGUG